UACAGAGGGGGGCAAGCGUUGUUCGGAAUUACUGGGCGUAAAGCGCAUGUAGGCGGCGAUUCAAGUCGGGGGUGAAAUCCUGGAGGCUCAACCUCAGAACUGCCUUCGAUACUGCAUUGCUGGAGUAUGGAAGAGGUAGGUGGAACUGCGAGUGUAGAGGUGAAAUUCGUAGAUAUUCGCAAGAACACCCGUGGCUAAGGCGGCUCUCUAGUACGGUACUGACGCUGAGACGCGAAAGCGUGGGGAGCGAACAGG
rnacentral:rRNA from 1 species